rnacentral:misc_RNA from 1 species
GGACCAGCUUCUUUCUUCAGCUGAGUGUGUGACUAGCCCCUGCCACAGUCGGGUAGGAGAUGGCUCUCCAUUUCUGCUCGGAGGUAGGAUUCCUCUUUCCCCAUCUCCAGUUAGGGUGUAAAUAUGUUUUUACCGGUUUUUGGGUUGCAGGUUUGUGCUUGUCACAGAGAAUGCGGGUAAUUUGAAGACUUACGUUUUCUUUUUACUGUUCAUGUGGCUUUGCUUCGGCCAAAAUGUUGGUUUCCAGCUUCGAUGUUCUGGGGUUAUUUAUGCUCUUUUGCUAUAGGUGGUUGCCAUGGGAGAGUACUACUAUGCCGCGAGGAAGUACAUCUCAAAGGUCUUUAAGCAUGCAUAAUUCAUUGCCUGCUAACCCAUGAAGGAGAGUUGCCGUUUUGAGCUCUAUCAGUCAACUCGCACUGCAAUUUAUGAGUCCAGCACAGCCUGCAUAUGUUUAGUUUUGCUUCCUGGAAAUUUGUCUUUUUAUGAAUUAGCGCUUUGCAGGAAGUUCUAGU